rnacentral:rRNA from 1 species
AAUGAACGCUGGCGGCGUGCUUUACACAUGCAAGUUGAGCGAGGCCACCCGCAAGGGUGAGUCGAGCGGCGAACGGGUGAGUAACGCGUGGAUAACCUGCCCUGAGGUGGGGAAUAACCCGGGGAAACUCGGGCUAAUACCGCAUGAUACCUAGCGGUCAAAGGGGGCGUCGCAAGAGCUCUUGCCACAGGAGGGGUCCGCGUUCGAUUAGCUAGUUGGUAGGGUAAUGGCCUACCAAGGCGACGAUCGAUAGCCGGCCUGAGAGGGUGAUCGGCCACACUGGAACUGAGACACGGUCCAGACUCCUACGGGAGGCAGCAGUGGGGAAUUUUGCGCAAUGGGCUAACGCCUGACGCAGCAACGCCGCGUGGAGGAUGAAGGUCUUUGGAUUGU